rnacentral:lncRNA from 1 species
UUCAUAUUUUGUUUUUCUGCAUACAGUUGUGCAUGCACUGUUAUCUUAUAGACUGCAUGUCAAGGACCUCAGGUCCCCGAGUGGCAGGUCCCUGACUUCUCAACUCGUAGCUGCAGGUGGGUAAUGGUGGCGCCAGGGUUCUCCCCUGGACGCCCAGCACAAGGUGAGAUUGAAGACAACAGAGAUGAGACUAGGGAUAACUUGGUUCUUCUUGCUUGCCUCAUACGAUGGUUUGUCGAUUACAUAAAUAGGAGCCAGGCUCCUUGAUUCUACUGCCAGGCAAUUACAGCCGGCUGCUACUUAAUGCUAAAGGAGUCUGUCUCCUUGAUACUAAUGCCAGCCGUAAUUAGUUGGCUGCUAAGCUCUUCCUCUUCUUUCUUGGUCCUCGUGAGGCCUUAAGCUUCAGCCGCCCUGUCCUCAUUAAGCUGCUGCUGGCCAUGCGCAGCACCUCGUGCUCGAGGUCGGCGGCUGUAUUGUCGGCCCCACAUCACAUCUCUCCCUCCCUCGACGAGCAGCUCGUCCUCGAGCUGAAAGCUGGGGUAGCGAUCUUGGAAGGAGUCGAUGUCUUCCCAUGUUGCAGAGGACACCGGUUCACCCUGCCAGUGGAUGAGCACCUGACGGACUCCACGUGCAAGUCUGGUGCGGGAGGCGCGUUCGGGCACCGGCUGGGUGGCGCCAUAGUGAACCAGAGGCAGAGGCGGUGGUGCUGCUGGUGGGACGCCCACGAACUUCUUGAGCAGACCGACAUGGAAGACAUUGUGAAGGCGGGCGCGUGGUAUGCGACCUCGUUGAUGACCUCCGCCACCUGAUAUGGCCCGUAGAAGCGCGGGCGCAGUUUGCCUUUGGUGACUUCGUUCAGCGAGGCAGGGGCACGAUGUCGAAGGCGGAGCCAUACCCAAUCACCAGUGCUGAAGUGGACCUCCCGAUGGUGCUGAUCAUAGCAGCGCUUGUACACCUGCUGCGCCUGCUCCAGCCUUGCGCGUGCAUCAGCUAUCAGUUCGUCGCGUUCAGCCAUGGAUUUAGCCACAGCUGCAACGCGCGACUCGCCCGGUUCGUAGGAGCGAAUGGAGGGAGGCUCCCUGCCGUAAACGACCUGGAAUGGUGUUAUUUUCAGGGCGGUCUGGUAAGCUGUGUUGAAGAUGAACUCAGCCCACGGCAAGCACUGCAGCCAUUUUCGAGGCCUGUCCCCUGUCAUGCAGCGUAGGUACAUGAUGAUCACCUUGUUGGCUGCCUCUGUCUGACCAUCUGAUUGGGGGUGAAAUGCAGUCGUCAUAUGGAGCUUAAUCCCUGAGAGCCGCAUCAGUUCCUUCCAAAAUAUGGAAGUGAAGACGGCGUCCCGAUCUGAGACGAUGGACUGGGGUAGUCCGUGCAGCCUGACAAUGCCGGAGAAGAACGCUUGGGCUACUGAUUCUGCUGAGUAAGGAUGGGACAGCGGAAUGAAAUGGCAAUAUUUGCUGAACCUGUCAACGACGGUGAGGAUCACGGACUUGCCACCCACUUUUGGCAGUGCCUCGAUGAAGUCAAUGCCUAUGUCUGUCCAGAUGGAUGAUGGCACAGGGAGGGGCAGGAGGAGGCCUGCUGGAUGCAGAUGCUCUGUCUUAUACCUUUGGCACGUGACGCAGACACGUACGAAGUCCUGGACGGCCACUCGUAGGUUGGGUGAGUGGAAAUCUCGCUGCAGCCGAUGGAGUGUGCGCUGGACGCCCUCAUGGCCAUCCUCAUGGACAGCGGUGAGAACCUCGUGGAGGAGCGGCGCGCUCGGAGGUAGGUAGAGGCGGCCGUUAAAUGCCACCAGGUUGUCUGUGAUGGCCCACGGUGGCCCACGACUGCCUGAGGUGAUGUCUUCCUGUAGGGCAACCAAGGCUGGGUCCUGCUGAUUGGCUUGGCGUAGGCGUGUGAUGAGGUCGAACCUGGGCCCUGAAAUGGCCAACACUGCUGCCUCCUCAGUGUCCCGGCGCGAGAGCGCGUCCGCCACUGUGUUGGUGUUGCCCGCUUUGUAUUCCACUGUGAAGUCAAAACCCAAUAGCUUACCCACCCAGUGAUGUUGGGGGAUGGUGGACAGCCUUUGAUCCAGCAGAAACUUCAAACUGAAGUGGUCAGUUCGCACCAGGAAGGGUCUGCCCCAUAGGUAUGGCCGCCAGUGCCUGAUGGCCAGCACAAGGCCGAUCAGCUCGCGUUCAUAGGCUGCUAGGGAGCGGUGUCGUGGUGCUGCCGGCCGGCUGAAGAAGGCCACCGGGUGCGGCCCUUGGAGCAGUACUGCACCGAAGCCAUGAGUUGACGCGUCGCAUUCCACGACAAAUUUUUGGUUGAAGUCAGGGAGGGUCAGAACCGGUGCCGUGGUGACUGCAGCCUUGAGGGUGGAGAAGGCUGUCUCAGCUUCUGCUGACCACGAGAAGCCUUCUUUCUUGAGGAGGGCGGUGAGUGGAGCAGCGAUCGCCCCGAAGUCCUUUACAAACUUGCGGUAGUAUCCCGCCAAGCCGAGGAAUCCGCGAAUCGCCCGAGCUGAGCGUGGCUGUGGCCAGUCUGCCACUGCAUGCACCUUCUCUGGGUCCAUGGCCACUCCCUGGGCUGAGAUGAUGUGGCCCAGGUAGCCAAUGGAUGCAGCACCGAACUCGCACUUGGUACGCUUGACGAAGAGCCGAUGUUGGUGGAGAGUGUUGAGGACAGCGCGCACGUGCUGGAGGUGCUCGGCGAGGGAGUGGCUGUAGAUGAGGAUGUCAUCGAAGAAGACGAGGACGAAGCGGCGGAGGAAUGGUCGGAGCACGUCGUUCAUGAGGGCCUGGAACGUCGCUGGUGCAUUGCAGAGGCCAAAAGGCAUGACCAGAAACUCGUACAGCCCUUCGUGCAUCCGGAACGCGGUCUUCUCGAUGUCCUCCGGAUGCAUCCGGACCUGAUGGUACCCGGAACGUAGGUCCAGCUUGGAGAAGAACCGGGCGCUGUGCAGCUCAUCCAGGAGCUCGUCGACGACAGGGAUGGGAUGGGCGUCCUUGAUGGUGAUGGAGUUGAGUGCACGGUAGUCGACGCAGAACCUCCAAGACCCGUCCGCCUUCUUGACGAGCAGGACCGGCGAAGAGAACACCGAGUUGCUGCGCCGGAUGAGACCUUGGCGCAGCAUAGCGGAGCACUGGCGUUCCAGCUCGUCCUUGUGCGAUGCCGGGUAGCGGUAGGGGCAGACCGCAACAGGCGCCGCUCCUGGCACCAGGUUGAUGUGAUGGUCUCGGGAACGCGGUGGUGGCAUGCCUUCUGGUUCGGCGAAGACGGAGGCGAACUCGUCCAGGAGGGUCGGCAUGAGGUCGUUGGAGUGGCACGCGUUGAGGCGUGGGCUCGUCGGUCCGGCCACGCCCUUCCAGCACACAUGGUGGUCCUAGUGCUAGAAGGACAUGGUCAGGGCGCUGAAGUCCCAAAGGAUGGGCCCCAACGUGGCCAGCCACUGCGUUCCCAGCACAACGUCAUAGCCGGCCAGCGGAAGGGCGAAGAAGUCGGUGGAGAAGUGGGUGCCCUCGAUGGAGAAGGGGGCUGCGCGGUACACGCCUGGACACGGCACCCGUUCGCCAUUGGCGACGGUGACCUUCAUGCCACCGCGGAGCUAGAGGCGGAGGGUUGUGCGGGCGGCUGCUUCAUCUGCCACGAAGUUGUGCGUUGACCCUGAAUCGAGCAGGGCCAGCAGGGACGCGCCACCAAGGUUGAUGCGCACCUGCAUCGUGUCCCCCAGGCGGACACCUGCUAUUGCGUGGAGCGAGAUGAGUGGGGCGUCCGAGGCCUGUACAGGGGCGAUUUCAUCUGAGUCGUCCUCCUCUGCAAUGUCCAGAAAAAACAGGCGUUGACAGACACGGUUAUGGCCGCGAGAGUAUUUCUCGUUGCAAUUGAAACAGAGUCCUUGUCGGCGGCGAUCGUCCAUCUCGGCGUUGGACAGCCGGCGGACCUGUCGACCGUCGAAGGACGGGGUGAUGUUGGGGGGGCGUUGCUGCUGCUGCGUCGGUGGAGCCGGAAGGGUCAACGUGGGGGAAGGCCCCGUCAGCAGACCGCGGCCGGCCAGGCGCGGUGCCGAGGCCGCGAUGGGGGCGAUGGCCGCGGCGGUCGCGGCGGCCGCGGCGCUCUGCUCGCGUAGCUCCAGUUUCCGGGCCAGGCUCAUGGCCACGACGAGGUGCUGGGGAUUAUGCAUCUCCACGUCAUGGCUGAGCGGCGGCCCAAGCCCCGCCGUGAAUGCUUGGACCCGCUAGGCUUCCUCCAGUGGACCGGCCCGGGGAAGCAGAGCCUCAAAGCGGGCCUGGUAUUCCUCCACAGUCCCAGUGCGGCGGCAAGCCAUGAGCUCGCCCAUGGGAUUGGACCGGAGAGGCGGCCCGAAGCGGAGAUUGAGGAGUUCGGUGAAGCGCCGCCAGUUGGGGGUGCCCUCCGAUUGCUGCACGAGGAUAUACCACAUCUGCGCGAUGUCUUCGAGAUUAUACGAAGCCAUCCAUACCUGCUCCUCCGGCGCGAUGCGCUGCUGGACGAAGAAUGCUUCACAUCGAUUGAUGAAGGCCAGCGGAUCGGACUUCCCGUCGAACUUGGGGAAGUCCAUCUUCUGGAGUCGCGGCGGCCGGUCGCCGUGGUGUUCGCCGAAGCCGGACCCGCGCGAGCCUGACGAAGAAGAUGGUGGCGGCUGGGCUUGCUGGAUGGCCACGAGCUGCUGCUGCAUCGCCGCCAUGUUCUUGGUGAGGUCACCAAUCAUCUUGGCGAGGUCGGUGAUGGAGGGCUCUGUCAUGGUGGGCGGGGAGGAUGCGGCAGAGUGGGUGGGUGAGGAUGCUGGUGUGGCAGAGGAUGCAGCAGAGGUGGUUUGGCAGCCGGAGGAUCGACGGCCGUCUGAUACCAAGUUGUCAAGGACCUCAGGUCCCCGAGUGGCAGGUCCCUGACUUCUCAACUCGUAGCUGCAGGUGGGUAAUGGUGGCGCCAGGGUUCUCCCCUGGACGCCCAGCACAAGGUGAGAUUGAAGACAGCAGAGAUGAGACUAGGGAUAACUUGGUUCUUGCUUGCCUCAUACGAUGGUUUGUCGAUUACAUAAAUAGGAGCCAGGCUCCUUGAUUCUACUGCCAGGCAAUUACAGCCGGCUGCUACUUAAUGCUAAAGGAGUCUGUCUCCUUGAUACUAAUGCCAGCCGUAAUUAGUUGGCUGCUAAGCUCUUCCUCUUCUUUCUUGGUCCUCGUGAGGCCUUAAGCUUCAGCCACCCUGUCCUCAUUAAGCUGCUGCAGGCCAUGCACAGCACCUCGUGCUCGAGGUCGGCGGCUGUAUUGUCGGCCCCACAUCACA